CGUGGAUAUGACAGGGGCCAAUCAAAUUAAAUGCUAGGGUAUUUAUACUUACCUCUCCCUUAACUCCCUGUUUUCUGUUUCAGUUCCCUUUAGUGCUUGUGUUGUUCAGUUGUGAUUUUUCGUACUUGACCUUGGCUUUGUAUCUGACUCCGUUUAUCUCUUUAUCCCUGUUUUGUCUUGUUUGUCGGCUUACUGAUUACUGUGUACCAGACCUCGGCUAGUUCUUGUUUUCG